GACGGGGGAUGCAAGUGUUAUCCGGAAUCACUGGGCGUAAAGCGUCUGUAGGUGGUUAAGUAAGUCAACUGUUAAAUCUUGGGGCUUAACCUCAAAAUCGCAGUCGAAACUGUUUGACUAGAGUAUAGUAGGGGUAAAGGGAAUUUCCAGUGGAGCGGUGAAAUGCGUAGAUAUUGGAAAGAACACCGAUGGCGAAGGCACUUUACUGGGCUAUUACUAACACUGAGAGACGAAAGCUAGGGUAGCAAAUGGG
rnacentral:rRNA from 1 species